UACAGAGGGGGCAAGCGUUGUUCGGAAUUACUGGGCGUAAAGGGCGCGUAGGCGGCCUGUUAAGUCGAACGUGAAAUCCCCGGGCUCAACCCCGGAACUGCAUCCGAUACUGCCAUGCUUGAGGGUUGGAGAGGUAGCUGGAAUUCUCGGUGUAGCAGUGAAAUGCGUGGAUAUCGAGAGGAACACUCGUGGCGAAGGCGAGCUACUGGACAACAUCUGACGCUGAGGCUCGAAGGCUAGGGGAGCAAAAGGG
rnacentral:rRNA from 1 species